rnacentral:tRNA from 1 species
CAUUAAGAAGCUAUGAACCAGCAUUAGCCUUUUAAGCUAAAGAUAGAGGACUACACCCCUCCUUAAUGG